AUUGAACGCUGGCGGCAUGCCUUACACAUGCAAGUCGAACGGUAACAGGGAGCUUGCUCCGCUGACGAGUGGCGAACGGGUGAGUAAUGUAUCGGAACGUACCAUUCAGUGGGGGAUAACGUAGCGAAAGUUACGCUAAUACCGCAUAUUCUGUGAGCAGGAAAGCAGGGGAUCGCAAGACCUUGCGCUGAUUGAGCGGCCGAUAUCAGAUUAGCUAGUUGGUGAGGUAAAGGCUCACCAAGGCGACGAUCUGUAGCGGGUCUGAGAGGAUGAUCCGCCACACUGGAACUGAGACACGGUCCAGACUCCUACGGGAGGGCAGCAGUGGGGAAUUUUGGGACAAUGGGGGCAACCCUGAUCCAGCCAUGCCGCGUGAGUGAAGAAGGCCUUCGGGUUGUAAAGCGUCUUUCGGUCCGGGAAAAAUACGGACAUCAGUUAAUAACCUGGUGUGGAUGAUGGUACCGGAUAAGAAGCACGGCUAAC
rnacentral:rRNA from 1 species